UACGUAGGGGGCUAGCGUUGUCCGGAUUUAUUGGGCGAAAGAGCGUGUAGGCGGCCAUGUAGGUCCGGUGUGAAAACUCGAGGCUUAACCUCGAGAUGUCAUCGGAAACCAUUUGGCUAGAGUCCGGAAGAGGAGAGUGGAAUUCCUGGUGUAGCAGUGAAAUGCGUAGAUAUCGAGGAAGGAACACCCGUGGCGAAGGCGAGUCCUGACGACUCUACAUGAGGCACGAAGACUGGGGAGCAAACAGG
rnacentral:rRNA from 1 species